GCCGGAGUGGCGGAAUUGGUAGACGCAGGGGACUUAAAAUCCCCCGGCCCUAGGCUGUCCCGGUUCGAUUCCGGGCUCCGGCA
rnacentral:tRNA from 1 species